ACAAUGGGGGUAGAGCACUUGUUGAGUUAUGGGGGCCCAAAGCCUUACUGAUCUCACGAAAACUCCGAAUACCAUAUGUAUCCUCCUGCGCAGACAGACUGUCAGUGCUAAGGUUGACAGUCAAGAGGGAAACAGCCCAGACCGGCCGCUAAGGUCCCAAAACGUUCUGUGAGUGGGAAAAGAAGUGAGACGACGAUGACAACGAGGAGGUUGGCUUGGAAGCAGCCAUUCUAUCAUGAAAGCGUAAUAGCUCACUCGUCGAGUUGUCUUGCACUGACAAUGUAUCGGGGCUGAACAGAAUUACCGAAGCGCUGGUUGUAAAAAGAAGUAGCGAAGCGUUUUGUGUGCCGCAAAACCGCAGCCGUAAGGGUGACGGGAAGGUCUCAAAAGUGAGUAUGCUGGCAUGAGUAACAUAUAAACAUAGAAUCAAUGUUUCGCCGUACGUUCAAGGGUUUCUACGUUCCGCUAAGCAUCGUAGAGUUAAGAAUCGGCCCCUCAGGUGUGUGAUGUCAUCAUCCAACCGAUGGAGGAUCUUUGUCAUGGACGAAAACAGAAUGCUUUUGCUUAGCGAAAAACAACAAGAUGCUUUUGCUUAGAGAGAGAACACUCAUGGAGACUCAUGCAUACAUUCUGUUUUCCAGGAAAAGCCACAAAGAAAAAACAUGCAUGUCCCGUGGGUCAACUGCGUUGAAGUGCAUUGCGAAGAGACCGUACCCUAAUCCGACACAGGUGAACGAGUCGACUAGACUCAGGCGUAGAGAGAACCACGUUGAAGGAACUCGGCAAACUAUUCCCGUACCUUCGGAACAAGGGGAACCGAUCCAGGUGACACAAAAAUGGGGGUGACGACUUUUUAUUAAAAAAUUAGGACUCUGCAAAAUGGCAACAUGCUGUAUAGGGUCUGACGUCUGCCCGGUGCUAGAAGUCUAAAAGGAGCAUUGAAAGAUGUGAAUGGAAAGCCUAGUAAACGGCGGUUGUAACUAUAACAAUCAUAAAGUAGCGAAAUUCCUUGCCAGCUAAUUCCUGGCCCGCAUGAAUGACGUAACGAUUGCCCCGCUGUCUCCAACGUGGACUCAGUGAAAUUGAAUUCUCCGUGCAGAUGCGGAGGUCGGGCCCCAAGACGAGAAGACCCUAUGCAGCUUUACUGUACAUUUGCAUUGGUGCAAACAUUGUUGGUUGUAGAAUAGGUGGGAGCAUGUAUGCAUAGUUCACUCGUCGCGUUGGCUUGCUGAGCAUGCAUACAUGCAUUCUUGAAAUACCACCAUCAACAUGUAUUGCACCUUACAUGACGCAACGCGAUUCAUGGACCCUGCAUGUGAGGCAGUUUGACUGGGGCGGUCGCCUCCUAUACUGUAACGGAGGCGUGCGAAGGUAAACUCACUGAUGAUCGGAAACCAUCUGAAGAGUGUAAUGAUAUAUGUUUGCCUGACUGUAAGAUGCACACAUCGAACAGAGACGCAAGUCGGCCAUAAUGAUCCAAAAGCGCUGUGUGGAAAGGCUUUUGCUUAACGAAUCAAAGCUACGCUAGGGAUAACAGGCUGAUAAUUCCUUAGAGCCCAUAUUGACGGAAUUGUUUGGCACCUCGAUGUUGACUGAUCAUUUCCUGGAGCUGAAGAAGGUUCCAAGGGUUCGGCUGUUCGCCGAUGAAAAUGGUACCUGAGUUGAGUUUAGAACGUCGUGAGACAGUUUGGAUUCUACCUGGGGUGCGCGUAAAAGAAUUGAGGGAAACGAGCCGAUAGUACGAGAGGAUCUUGGCUCACUCACCCCUGGUGUACUCAUUGUUUCGCCACAAGCAUCGUGAGGUAGCUACGUGAGGACAGGAGAAUCGCUGGAUGCAGAUAAGCGAGAAACUUUUUCCAAGACACAUUCUUUGCUGCAAAAGGCAGUGCCGUGAAAGUCCAUCACGUGAAUAGGCAUGACGUGUCAUCUUUGUAAA
rnacentral:rRNA from 1 species